GAUUAACCUAACUCAGAACACUAAUUCAGCUACUACCUUUCUGUGUAUUUAUUCAGUUUCCCCAGGAUGCAGUACUUUGAACAAACCAUGGAUUCCAGAAAAGACAUCUGUUUCCAUCAAGAACUAACAUGGAAUAAUAACAAAGAAGAUGUGGCCACAUGCUCUCAGGUAGAAACUGAAGGUCAAAGAAGAGAUAUGAGAAGGAGUUUUCCCAUCAAGGGAGGUCCUUUUCUGAUGGAUGACUAAGCCCUGAGAAAUGCUUAGAAAUAGGCAAGAGGGGAUGAAUGCUGCUCUACAUUCAGUUAUCAGAAUGGCACCUUAAAAUUAUGGUCAUAAAGGAACCUGUGAUUGGCCAUACGUUUGAGUUUUCAAGAAGAGAUCUUACACGGAACAUGAGAAAACUACAGUGACUCUCUUGAGAUUUUUCGAAUGACACACAAGCACCAAAGAGGAACUUUUGCCUUUUCGGACAAGUUAAGUACAUUAAAUAUAAUAAGGUCUGAUAAAUCAGAAACAAAAAGUGAAAUUCAUGUUAAGGCCUCAACUCAGUGUUUUAGAAGAGAAUUUUUCUGGGUUUUAUAGUAUCUGACAGUUAAUAGGCCAGGCACAGUGGCUCACACCUGUAGUCUCAGCACUUUAGAAGACAGAGACAAGUGGAUCUCUUGAGCCCAGGAGUUCGAGAACAGCCUGGGCAAUAUUGUGAGGCCCCCAUCUCUACUAAAAAUAACAAAAUCAGCUAUUAGCUGGGCAUGAUGGCAUGCAUCUGUGGUCCUAGCUACCGGGGAGGCUGAGGUGGGAGGAUUGCUUGAGCCUGGGAGGCAGAGUUUGCAGUGAGCCAUGAUUGCACCACUGCAUUCCAGCCUGGGUGACAGAAUGAGACCUUUUCUCAAAAAGAUAAAAAAUAAAUAAAAAAUUAAAGGAAUCCAGUUAACAGUUGUCGCAGGAUGUUAAAGAAUCAGGCUUUAUGGUUUUAAUCAUUACAUAUUCCAGAGGUAAAAUUCUGAGGAAAUCAUUUUUAUGGGUUUAACAGCCAUUCAUACUAUUCUUUAAUGAACAGAGAUUCUGCCACGGAAGAAAGGCUAUUGCAAUUGUCUAGUUUGAGGUUGAUAAAAUUUCUUUUUGACUGGAAAAGAGAAAUUUCCAGUGAAAGGUGAUUUCUUGGCCGGGCACAGUGGCUCAUGCCUGUAAUCCCAGCACUCUGGGAGGCAGAGGCAGGUGGACCACCUGAGGUCAGCGGUUCGAGACCAGCCUGGCCAACAUGGCGAAACCUCGUCUCUACUAAAAAUACAAAAAUUAGCUGGGCGUGUUGGUGGGCACCUGUAAUCCCAGCUACUUGAGAUACUGAGGCACAAGAAUCACUUGAACCUGGGAGGCAAAGGCUGCAGUGAGCGGAGACUGUGGCACUGCACUCCAGCCUGGGCCACAGAGUGAGAUACUGUCUUAAAAAAAAAAAAAAAAAAAAAGAAAGGUGAUUUCUUUACACAGUAGGAACCGGGGGCAAUUAACUUUCGGGCACUUACUUGUACUCAAUUAAUAAUUGAUAUAUAAAUGAAUGUAUCAAAGGCAUCCUGGGAGAUCCCCACAAAUCUGAAACUGCCUACAACAUCCUCCCAAUUUGAUCGGAAUAACUUAAUUGUACUAGGCCUUAGGUUCUGUAAGAAUCCAAAGUGGUGUAAGGUAAGUUUUAUCUGGAAUAGACAGUACAAAUAACAUAGUUCUCCAAAGAAUACAUAAUAUACAAUUGAUGAUGGUAGAAAGUAGAACAAUGGGAAGUGGUUACUCCUUAAGAAUAAUACUUGCUUUCUCCAAAAGGGCUCACUGAGCCACCCAGCAUAUUCCAAGAGUCUAAACAAGGACCGUUGACUAAUUACUUCCAUUAGACUUCCUCUUCGAGAUCCAAAGUUACAUCUGUCCUUCCUCCUUCUCCUUAGAAGAACCAGCUCUCCCAAGAUCUAAGAAGAAAACUCCCAGAAUUAGGCCACGAGGGAGGCUUAUAUGCAAUCAAACUAACCCCAGUGAAAAUGAAAUCACAGUUAGGAGAAGAAGAAAGGACCAGAAUAGUUCAUGAAUUGCCGUACUCCUUACUCUUCUAAUGUAAACAAUAUUAAAAUGCAAUUAUUUCACUAAGGAAAGCUUUUCAAGGUACAGUUCCUUUAAGAAUCAGUUCUGCUGGUAAGGGAACCAAAAAAAUCUCUGUACUUCCUCAAUGGAUUUUAAAUAUAUCAGUAACUCUUCUUGCCCCAAUCCCCAUCAUCCAAAUUUACACUAACCAAAGAAUUUAUGGGUAUAAAAUUACUGUCCUGGGUGGAGGAACUCCUACACAGAAUAGCAACAUGCUUUUAUAGCAAAAGAAGAUGAUGGAGUCUUUAGCAUCCAUGCUGUUUUAUUCAGAAAGAAAAAAAUAUAUAUUGGGGGGGUGGGGGCUGAAGUUAAAGAUAUAUUUUCCUCUUUGCAGCUCUAUAAUUUCAUUCCCCAUAAAAGAGUGAAUCAGACUGAGUUGUCAAAUGAAAAGUAAACUUCAUCGCCUUUGCGAUCAGAAUAAUUUAAUUAGCUUUAUUGGCUCUUACAGGCUGUCACCUUAUUUAUUGGUUUUUCAGCUUUCUUCUCAUUUUCAAUUAGGCUUUAAAAAAACAAAUGCAAAAUCAUUCACUAAAUUCAGAAUAAUUAAAACAAUAUUGUGUUUCCAGUUUGGAAACAUGGUAGAAUGUAUUGCUUCUGGGUACACUUCGGAGAGGUUAAAGUGACAGAGCAGAUAAAAAGGACACUUAGUACACACGUAAAUCAUUUGCAUUACAAAUAAGAUACUUUAGCAGGGGUUGGACUCCCUGCCUGACAGUCAGGAUUAAGUUCCCAUAUUAAUACAUGCAUUUGGUGUGGUUAUUUUGGGUGAAAGACUUCAUCCAUCAAUGCCCUCUGCCACUAAGUAAGGCCAACCUGUAAACUGAUCACCACAGCCUGUCAACACUGGUUACUUAAUUAUAUAAAGAAAAUAUGUUUAAAAGACUUUUGAUAAUUUGGUUAGUAUUUCAACAUCUUUUUCAAGGUUCCUUAAAAUAAUAGCUAAAGCAUUUUUAAGAAUUAAAAACUGAAAACUAUGACUAUUUUUAUGUUUCCUGCUAAUCUUUCUUUUUCUUUUAUUUGCAGAAGGGAAAAAUAAAGAUUCAGUAAGCAUUAAUGAAGAUGAAUAUAAAUGAAAUAAUAUUUUUAAAAGAUAUUUUAAUUAAAAAUUAAAUUCAAUGCAUG
rnacentral:lncRNA from 1 species